rnacentral:tRNA from 1 species
UGCUCCUUAGUGUAAGUUAACAUUUCUGAUUUGCAAUCAGAGAAUGAGAGAAAAUUCUCAGGAGCAU